GUAUGUCCAAGCUCCUGUUGAUUUUUGGUAAAAUGGAAGGCACAGUUCUAUCACUCCCACAUUGAAAAUUAUUGCCACAAAGCCUUUGUAAUUUGGCUACGUUCUUCAUCUAUUACAAGGAUGUUGUCAGACUAUUAUUCAUUGUUUACUAGAGCUUAAAGCCCAUGUGAAUCUAAUAGCAACGCAUUGUGCAUAAAUGGGGACAAACCAUCGU
rnacentral:misc_RNA from 1 species